UACGUAGGGGGCAAGCGUUGUCCGGAUUUAUUGGGCGUAAAGAGCGUGUAGGCGGCCAGGUAGGUCUGGUGUGAAAACUCGAGGCUCAACCUCGAGAGGUCAUCGGAAACCAUCUGGCUAGAGUCCGGAAGAGGAGAGUGGAAUUCCCGGUGUAGCGGUGAAAUGCGCAGAUAUCGGGAAGAACACCUAUGGCGAAGGCAGCUCUCUGGGGCGGUACUGACGCUGAGGUGCGAAAGCGUGGGGAGCAAACAGG
rnacentral:rRNA from 1 species